rnacentral:rRNA from 1 species
GACAGAGGGUGCAAACGUUGUUCGGAAUUACUGGGCGUAAAGCGCGUGUAGGCGGCUAUGUAAGUCGGGCGUGAAAUCCCACGGCUCAACCGUGGAAGUGCACCCGAAACUGCGUAGCUAGAGUCCUGGAGAGGAAGGUGGAAUGCUUGGUGUAGAGGUGAAAUUCGUAGAUAUCAAGCGGAACACCGGUGGACGAAGGCGGC